UAUCCAUGUCAUAAGAUCCUGCCACCCACUAUCCCAAGGACGACCCACCAGGAGACUGCCCUCGAGCCCCCAAGGAGCCUUUUCCCAGAGCCAGUCACCUUGGGGGAAAGGACCAAGAAUGUUGGAGGAGGAAAUGAAAAAGCAGCAGAAAAGAGGCGUGAGGAAAGAUGCUUGAUGGAGGGAUGAAGACUCAGAGAGGGGAGAUAGUGUGCUCAAGGCCACUGGCAUGCUAUGUUGGCUUGCUAGCACUGCCACAACACAGUGCUGGGAUCCUAAGAUGCUGUUUAAAGACAACAAUUACUAUACCACGAAGCAAUCUUUUGCCACCAAGUAAAUCUACUAUCAAGUCCUACUGGCCAGGCUAAUGAAUCUGGGCAGAGCCUCCAAGACUGAUCUCUCAGGAAGCUCUAAAGAAAGCUGGGAAAGUGGGUGUUAGUUAAGUAUAUACCAUACAAGCACAAGGACAUGAGUUCAAAUUCCAAGAACUCACAUAAAAAUCUAGGGACAGUGGCGUAUGCCUGCAAUCACAGUUCUGGGCAGGCAGAGACUGGCAGACCCCUGGCAUCCACUAGCCAAUAUAGCUGUGUCAGUGAACUCCAUGUUCAAUGAGAGACCCUAUCUUGAAAAAUAAGGUGAAAAGCAAGUGAGAAAGACAUGAGACUGAUAUCAACCUCUGACACACACACACACACACACACACA